UUUUUUUACUGAAACACCUUGCAUUCCAUUUACUAAGGACCAACUAAAUCCGUGGUCAUAGCACAAGUUACAAUAUCAGAGAGGUUUGAAAGCCAAACAAAUUGGUUUCCAUAAACACCAGUACACCACUACCACCUAAAGCAGCCAGCUCAUGGGCUGGGACAUUACAAACACGUGGACAGUGGGGGACAUUCCACUUAAUAAAACCCAACUCGAGCAGGUAUUUGAGCUCGCGAAAGACAGCGCCCAGGGAGGAUCGAUCAAGAGUUUCAGAGUUGAUGGCCUGCUGUAGAACCAAGCAGUCAGUCUCAAAAGCAACACGGCCCAUGCCAUGGUCUUGAGCAAACCGGAC
rnacentral:lncRNA from 1 species